rnacentral:rRNA from 1 species
AGUGGCGACGAAGGGUCGACGUAACACGUGGGUCAUUUGCCGUGAAGCUGGGAACAACUCGUUGAAAGACGAGCUAAUACCCAAUGUGCUCCGCAAGGAGUAAAGCCGGGGACCGCAAGGCCUGGCACUUUACGAUAAGCCCGCGGCCUAUCAGCUAGUUGGCGGGGUAAAAGCCACCAAGGCUAAGACGGGUAGCUGGUCUGAGAGGACGACCAGCCACACUGGAACUGAGACACGGUCCAGACACCUACGGGUGGCAGCAGUCGAGAAUUUUUCACAAUGGGCGAAAGCCUGAUGGAGCGACGCCGCGUGGGGGAUGAAGGGCUUCGGCUCGUAAACCCCUGUCAUUCGCGAACAAAGGUGCCGGCCUAAUAUGCCGUCGUCUGAUAGUAGCGGAAGAGGAAGGGACGGCUAACUCUGUGCCAGC